CAUUGGCUCAANCAAUGUAUGCUUUGGAAACUGUUAGACUUGAGUGCAGAAGGGGAGAGUGGAAUUCCAUGUGUAGCGGUGAAAUGCGUAGAUAUAUGGAGGAACACCGGUGGCGAAAGCGGCUCUCUGGUCUGUCACUGACGCUGAGGCUNGAAAGCGUGGGUAGCGAACAGGAUUAGAUACCCUGGUAGUCCACGCCGUAAACGCUGAGUGCUAGGUGUUAGGUCCUUUCCGGGACUUAGUGCCGACGCUAACGCAUUAAGCACUCCGCCUGGGGAGUACGACCGCAAGGUUGAAACUCAAAGGAAUUGACGGGGGCCCGCACAAGCGGUGGAGCAUGUGGUUUAAUUCGAAGCAACGCGAAGAACCUUACCAGGUCUUGACAUCCCGAUGCCCGCUCUAGAGAUAGAGUUUUUCUUCGGAACAUCGGAGACAGGUGGUGCAUGGUUGUCGUCAGCUCGUGUCGUGAGAUGUUGGGUUAAGUCCCGCAACGAGCGCAACCCUUAUUGUUAGUCGCCAUCAUUAAGUUGGGCACUCUAGCGAGACUGCCGGUAAUAAACCGGAGGAAGGUGGGGAUGACGUCAAAUCAUCAUGCCCCUUAUGACCUGGGCUACACACGUGCUACAAUGGUUGGUACAACGAGUCGCAAGCCGGUGACGGCAAGCUAAUCUCUGAAAGCCAAUCUCAGUUCGGAUUGUAGGCUGCAACUCGCCUACAUGAAGUCGGAAUCGCUAGUAAUCGCGGAUCAGCACGCCGCGGUGAAUACGUUCCCGGGCCUUGUACACACCGCCCGUCACACCACGAGAGUUUGUAACACCCAAAGUCG
rnacentral:rRNA from 1 species